AUUCACUACUGCUUAAUACAAUCAUGCCUUGCUGUGGGUUUUAACUUUGUUUUGGGUGGGGGAAAGACUUCAGGUAUAGAAUGUAUGAAUUUCCAAUUUACCUUUUAAUGAAAUAGCAGGAUUCUUGGGCCAAACAAGUAAAUUAUUCACCUGAAGGAUAUAGAAUGAUUCACUCCUUUCUUGCUCCCUCCUCCCUCCAUCUUUCCACAAACACUGAUGAAUGAUUAUGCUGGACAAAGAGCUUCUAGAGAAGGGACAAUUGUGUUCCUCCACAAACCAGGUCACUGGAAAGGUAAAUGUUUCAUCUUCCAAUAUUCGCUGGCACCAUGAUUUAAGGGUGACUCAGGGGAAGUGCUGGUUGAACAAGGCCCCACCUCCCAAAGCCAGCAACGGCUGAGGAUAGAGCUUUCCCUGGUGGACAAAGGAGCUGUCUUCUAGUCAAAGUUAAGGCCCUAUACUUGCUAGGAACUCUGAAAUAUUCUUAGGACUCCUAUACAAAAAAGCUGUGAUGGAUAAUACAAAGACCAUCUAAAUCUCCAUGAGAAUAGCAGCUUAGAAAUAAAC
rnacentral:lncRNA from 1 species